rnacentral:pre_miRNA from 17 species
ACCUUGUCAGAAGCCACCUUCUGUGCCCCCAGCACCACGUGUCUGGGCCACGUGAGCAACGCCACGUGGGCCUGACGUGGAGCUGGGGCCGCAGGGGUCUGAUGGCCUCCUGUUUC